UACGUAGGGGGCGAGCGUUGUCCGGAAUUAUUGGGCGUAAAGAGCGUGUAGGCGGUCCGGUAAGUCUGCCGUGAAAACCCGGGGCUCAACCCCGGGCGUGCGGUGGAAACUGCCGGGCUAGAGGAUGGUAGAGGCGAGUGGAAUUCCCGGUGUAGCGGUGAAAUGCGCAGAUAUCGGGAGGAACACCAGUAGCGAAGGCGGCGACCUGGGUAGAUACUGACGCUGAGGUGCGAAAGCGUGGGGAGCAAACAGG
rnacentral:rRNA from 1 species